AAUAGGGUGGUAAUUUUGCUGGUUUCGACAUUAUGUACAUGCAUGAGUUUAAUCACCCCUCCCUCCUCUUUUCCUUUUCAGUUAUGAGAUUAAAGUGAGGGAAUGACAAGAGAAGAUCAUGAACCAACGAAAAUUACAGAUGUGUUGAAAUUUGUUGUCAGAAUCUGUUUGAAUGAUGAACUUCAUGCAUACAAUUGUUGUGGUUGUCACAACUGGAAUCUAUUAAACAAAAUCAAAUACUUGAUAAUAACUACCUCUCCACACUGUUAUGUUUCUUGUUUUUUCGUUUUCAAUAAUUUGAUCGGUUUUAGACUUUUGAUUUAUUUUCAAUUAGAAGUAAAUGAAUGAAGGAAAAAGAUAACAGAAAAAGUUGAUUUUACUUUUACUAUCAUUUUCCUAUGCUUUUUA